CUGACGCUAAAGCUCGAAGGUGCGGGUAUCGAACAGGAUUAGAUACCCUGGUAGUCCGCACGGUAAACGAUGGAUGCCCGCUGUUUGCGAUAUACUGUGAGCGGCCAAGAGAAAUCGUUAAGCAUCCCACCUGGGGAGUACGCCGGCAACGGUGAAACUCAAAGGAAUUGACGGGGGCCCGCACAAGCGGAGGAACAUGUGGUUUAAUUCGAUGAUACGCGAGGAACCUUACCCGGGCUUGAACUGCAGGAGAAGGAUACAGAGAUGUUGACGCCCUUCGGGGCUCCUGUGGAGGUGCUGCAUGGUUGUCGUCAGCUCGUGCCGUGAGGUGUCGGCUUAAGUGCCAUAACGAGCGCAACCCUUUUCUUCAGUUGCCAUCAGGUUAAGCUGGGCACUCUGGAGACACUGCCACCGUAAGGUGUGAGGAAGGUGGGGAUGACGUCAAAUCAGCACGGCCCUUACGUCCGGGGCUACACACGUGUUACAAUGGCCGGUACAGAAAGUCGGAUGCCCGUAAGGUCAUUCUAAUCAAGAAAGCCGGUCCCAGUUCGGACUGAGGUCUGCAACCCGACCCCAUGAAGCUGGAUUCGCUAGUAAUCG
rnacentral:rRNA from 1 species